GACGUAGGGCGCGAGCGUUGUCCGGAUUUAUUGGGCGUAAAGAGCUCGUAGGCGGCUUGUCGCGUCGUCCGUGAAAACCCGGGGCUCAACUCCGGGCUUGCGGGCGAUACGGGCAGGCUAGAGUGUGGUAGGGGAGAUCGGAAUUCCUGGUGUAGCGGUGAAAUGCGCAGAUAUCAGGAGGAACACCGGUGGCGAAGGCGGGUCUCU
rnacentral:rRNA from 1 species